rnacentral:rRNA from 1 species
UGGAUAACCGUGGUAAUUCUAGAGCUAAUACAUGCAUAGAGCCCCGACUUGCGGAAGGGUGUAUUUAUUAGAUAAAAAACCAAUGCCCUUCGGGGCUGCUUGGUGAAUCAUGAUAACGCAACGAAUCGCAAGGCCUUGCGCCGGCCAUGGUUCAUUCAAAUUUCUGCCCUAUCAACUUUCCAUUGUAGUUUAAUGGACUACAAUGGUUUCAACGGGUAACGGGGAAUUAGGGUUCCACUCCCGAAAGGGAGCCUGAAAAACGGCUACCACAUCCAAGGAAGGCAGCAGGCGCGCAAAUUACCCAAUCCCGACACGGGGAGGUAGUGACAAUAAAUACUGAUACAGGGCUCUUUUGGGUCUUGUAAUUGGAAUGAGUACAAUUUAAAUCCCUUAACGAGGAACAAUUGGAGGGCAAGUCUGGUGCCAGCAGCCGCGGUAAUUCCAGCUCCAAUAACGUAUAUUAAAGUUGUUGCAGUUAAAAAGCUCGUAAUUGAACCUUGGGCCUGGCUGACCGGUCCGCCUCACCGCGUGCACUGGUUCGGCCGGGCCUUUCCUUCUGCGGAACGACAUGCCCUUCAGUGGGCGUGUUUUGGGAAGCAGGACUUUUACUUUGAAAAAAUUAGAGUGUUCAAAGCAGGCCUUUGCUCGAAUACAUUAGCAUGGAAUAAUGGGAUAGGACGGCGCUCCUAUUUUGUUGGUUUCUAGGAGAACCGUAAUGAUUAAUAGGGACAGUUGGGGGCAUCCGUAUUCAGUUGUCAGAGGUGAAAUUCUUGGAUUUACUGAAGACGAACUACUGCGAAAGCAUUUGCCAAAAAUGUUUUCAUUAAUCAGUGAACGAAAGUUAGGGGAUCUAAGACGAUCAGAUACCGUCGUAGUCUUAACCAUAAACUAUGCCGACUAGGGAUCGGGCGAUGUUAUUGUAUUGACUCGCUCGGCACCUUUCGAGAAAUCAAAGUGUUUGGGUUCUGGGGG